GACGCUCCGAAGAGUAGGCAGUACACACAGGAAUAAAGUGAGCGGACUUGGUCAGCUGAUACACAAUCACCCAAAUAGCAUCGACCUUUAUCAAAGUUUGUGUCAAAAAAUUAUAAAAGAAAGUGUCAAUGCUUUAAUUUCCAACACCAAUCAACACAUAUGCUGUUCCAACAUAAUUUUUUAUUAGAAUGUCCAAAACACUAAAUAUCCAAUUUCAGAAACCGUUUGAAGGGCAUAUAACUCACAACAUCAUGGCAGCACUUUCAACUUUACAAGAAUAACAAAUAAUUAUAAAGUUGGCAUUGCUCCGUUCUUUAUAUUAGCUCAAAAAUAUGUAUAAUCAAACAUAGUUCAAUAAACCAAUUUCGCAUUGCAGUACAGAUUAUUGAAAGUAACUUCGUCAAAAUUGCCUCCAAACAAACAAAUAAAAAUAAAUAAAUAAAUCACAGCAACCCAAUGAACAAAUUCAGAAUAUAUACCCCAUCAUAUGAAACAACUAAAUCUUAACAGAAGUAGGAAUUUAUCCUCAAGCAAGUAUAGGAUUAUAAACAAAGGCAAAAUUGAGUUACACAUCAAUCUCACAAAUCAGCACGACAAAAUGGGAUUCUGUGGGUACCUUAAAUGCAAAGGGGGAAAGCAGAAUGACAAAAACCAAAUAAAGGUAAGGAGAAGAAGCAGGAAACUCGGCGCACAGGGACAUCAACAAACAGCAAAUUCUUAUACCAACACAGCUCGAGAAUCUCAGAAAGUAAGCAACAACUGAGCUCGGACAGCUAUAUAAACGAAGACUCCAACGCAACCUCAAAACUUCGACCUCUGACUUUACCCGGAAUCUCAAAGACAGAAAGAAAUAGAUUGGUAAGGAGGGAGCCAAUCUUCACAUGAUUUUUGGGACUAUUUCAAGAUUGUUUCAUGGCUGAAGUUUGUGACGGAUUUUUCAGUUGUGAAUUCGGGAGUUUUGGAGCUAGAAUUUGGGUAUUUACAUGGCUGAGAAGAGAGUGUUUCUG
rnacentral:lncRNA from 1 species